GAGUUUGAUCUUGGCUCAGAUUGAACGCUGGCGGCAUGCCUUACACAUGCAAGUCGAACGGCAGCACGGGAGCUUGCUCCUGGUGGCGAGUGGCGAACGGGUGAGUAAUGCAUCGGAACGUAUCCUGGAGUGGGGGAUAACGUAGCGAAAGUUACGCUAAUACCGCAUAUUCUGUGAGCAGGAAAGCGGGGGACCUUCGGGCCUCGCGCUCUUGGAGCGGCCGAUGUCGGAUUAGCUAGUUGGUGAGGUAAAGGCUCACCAAGGCGACGAUCCGUAGCAGGUCUGAGAGGAUGAUCUGCCACACUGGAACUGAGACACGGUCCAGACUCCUACGGGAGGCAGCAGUGGGAAUUUUGGACAAUGGGGGCAACCCUGAUCCAGCCAUGCCGCGUGAGUGAAGAAGGCCUCGGUGUAAG
rnacentral:rRNA from 1 species